GUAACCUUUGGCGAAUGGCGUAACAAGUAACAAACAUCAAAGUGCCCUGUGCCGACACAAAAAAGUGUAGUGUGUGCUUUGUGUGUAGACUGUGAAAUUUGUCUUAUUCAACACUCAGGUAUGGAUGGCAAUAAUGACACACCGCUCAUUAAAAUCGAACCAAUACGAGAAGAA